AACCUAGCACACCUGCGGUGUGUACCUGCGGAAGGAUCAUCAUCGAAUUCAUAUCCCUCCACUUCCGGAGGGGGACCCAUGAUAAACCCUUCUGUGCAUCGUAAACCGUUCAUUUUGGCUGGUUUUGGUGGUGAGCGUGAGCUCGUCUCCAACCUCGCGUUCUCUCCCCCUAAGGGGGGUGGUGUUACGCGUGGCGGCCUGCCGAAGUCCUCCCAUUAAAAACACGUUUUCGAACACGUC
rnacentral:misc_RNA from 1 species